rnacentral:rRNA from 1 species
GACCGACACGCGGUGGCCUCACGGCCGUCGGCGUUGCUGGGAAGUUGACCAAACUUGAUCAUUUAGAGGAAGUAAAAGUCGUAACAAGGUUUCCGUAGGGGAACCUGCGGAAGGAUCAUUAACGUUUUC